CAUACCACUCUCCAUAAUAAUGUUCAUCUAUCGCCGCCACUACCAUCAUAAUCGUUUCUUUUUCCAUUCACCACUACUCUGGGAUCGGCCUGCUUUGUCAUCCCACUGUUGUGACUUCAUUAUUAGUUUAUUAUAGUUUAUUAUUCCUUGGUGGUAGUAAUAGUAGUAACAAUAAGAAGAAUAUAGUACGCUGUACUUUUUCCCUGUAAACUCUUAAGCAUUUUAAAGAAACUUCAGUGGCAUGUUUUAAGGUUUUGCCUGAUGGAGUUAGUUCCUAUGCUUUGAAGGUUUUGUUUUUCUUGAGACCUGAAGCCUUUUAGUCUGAGGUGAGAUGCUGUUUCAUCAAAUUGCUGAGGUCUGAGGAUGUCUUGAUAAAUAGACUGUACUGGUUGGAUGUCUUCUCUGAAAAUCCCCUAAAGGAAAUGAAUUCCCCAUCCUGAAGAACUGGAAGAAAUAUCAGAUCCAGCCCUGGACGCUGUCAGAAAAUAUCUGUUUUGUCUGGUAACAGAACAACUGCAAGACUGUAUGAACAGUCUUCUAUCAGCCAAGAAGUUGACCGAGAAAAGCCAGUGAAGAGCAGAAGCAAGAGACAAAGUGAUGAUAAAAAAGAAAAGAGUUUAUUGUAUAAACUUGUGUAUGUUAAGUGUUCAGACUUUGUCUGACCAGCACAAAUUCAAAAGUGUUAUUAUACCACAAGCAAUAGCAUUGAAAAAUUACUUCACAACAACAUCCCGUGACAUUAAAAACUUUGAAAGGAGA